GGGAAUGUGGCUUAGUGGUAGAGUGCUUGCCUAGCAUGCAUGAAGCUCUGGGUUCGACUCCUCAGCAUAAACA
rfam:Dipodomys ordii contig_34549, whole genome shotgun sequence.